rnacentral:rRNA from 1 species
ACGGGAGGCAGCAGUGGGGAAUCUUGCGCAAUGGGCGAAAGCCUGACGCAGCGACGCCGCGUGGGGGAAGAAGGCCUUCGGGUUGUAAACCUCUUUCAGGAGGGACGAAGCCACUCGGGUGAAUAGCCCAGAGGGUGACGGUACCUCCAGAAGAAGCCCCGGCUAACUACGUGCCAGCAGCCGCGGUAAUACGUAGGGGGCGAGCGUUGUCCGGAUUUAUUGGGCGUAAAGAGCGUGUAGGCGGCCAGGUAGGUCUGGUGUGAAAACUCGAGGCUUAACCUCGAGAUGUCAUCGGAAACCAUCUGGCUAGAGUCCGGAAGAGGAAAGUGGAAUUCCUGGUGUAGCGGUGAAAUGCGCAGAUAUCAGGAAGAACACCAAUGGCGAAAGCAGCUUUCUGGGACGGUACUGACGCUGAGACGCGAAAGCGUGGGGAGCGAACAGGAUUAGAUACCCUGGUA